AUUGAACGCUGGCGGCAGGCUUAACACAUGCAAGUCGAGCGGAGAUGAGGUGCUUGCACCUUAUCUUAGCGGCGGACGGGUGAGUAAUGCUUAGGAAUCUGCCUAUUAGUGGGGGACAACAUUCCGAAAGGAAUGCUAAUACCGCAUACGCCCUAUGGGGGAAAGCAGGGGAUCUUCGGACCUUGCGCUAAUAGAUGAGCCUAAGUCGGAUUAGCUAGUUGGUGGGGUAAAGGCCUACCAAGGCGACGAUCUGUAGCGGGUCUGAGAGGAUGAUCCGCCACACUGGGACUGAGACACGGCCCAGACUCCUACGGGAGGCAGCAGUGGGGAAUAUUGGACAAUGGGCGGAAGCCUGAUCCAGCCAUGCCGCGUGUGUGAAGAAGGCCUUUUGGUUGUAAAGCACUUUAAGCGAGGAGGAGGCUACUUAGAUUAAUACUCUAGGAUAGUGGACGUUACUCGCAGAAUAAGCACCGGCUAACUCUGUGCCAGCAGCCGCGGUAAUAC
rnacentral:rRNA from 1 species